GACGUAGGGCGCGAGCGUUGUCCGGAUUUAUUGGGCGUAAAGAGCUCGUAGGCGGCUUGUCGCGUCGUCCGUGAAAACCCACAGCUCAACUGUGGGCUUGCGGUCGAUACGGGCAGGCUAGAGUUCGGUAGGGGAGACUGGAAUUCCUGGUGUAGCGGUGAAAUGCGCAGAUAUCAGGAGGAACACCGGUGGCGAAGGCGGGUCUCUGGGCCGAUACCGACGCUGAGGAGCGAAAGCGUGGGGAGCGAACAGG
rnacentral:rRNA from 1 species